rnacentral:rRNA from 1 species
ACUCAAAGGAAUAGACGGGGGCCCGCACAAGCGGAGGAACAUGUGGUUUAAUUCGAUGAUACGCGAGGAACCUUACCCGGGCUCAAACGCAAAGGGAAUGUUGGGGAAACUCAACAGAACGGGGUAACCCGACCGUUUGCGAGGUGCUGCAUGGUUGUCGUCAGCUCGUGCCGUGAGGUGUCGGCUUAAGUGCCAUAACGAGCGCAACCCUUAUUGUUAGUUGCCAGCGGGUAAUGCCGGGGACUCUAGCAAAACUGCCAGCGUAAGCUGUGAGGAAGGUGGGGAUGACGUCAAAUCAGCACGGCCCUUACGUCCGGGGCGACACACGUGUUACAAUGGGAGGUACAGAAGGUUGCUACCACGCGAGUGGAUGCUAAUCCGUAAAGCCUCUCUCAGUUCGGAUCGAAGUCUGCAACUCGACUUCGUGAAGCUGGAUUCGCUAGUAAUCGCGCAUCAGCCAUGGCGCGGUGAAUACGUUCCCGGGCCUUGUACACACCGCCCGU